UUGGUUCCCAGGGAUUGUGAGAUUGAUUUUUUUGCUCCACCCACUUCUUAUUUUAUGGGCUCCCUAAUCUCUGGCUGACUCAUAUAUAUAUCUUAAAUUCCUAAAGAUGAAUAAGAUCAAGUUCUGUGAAGUAACAGUACUAGGCAAGGAAUUAUAUAUCCGAAAAUUCUGGUUAAUUUCCUUAAGCAAAAAAAAAAAAAAAAAAAAAAGUCACCUGUUCUGGCACAUCUUUUGUUUUUUCUCAGGAUUGAUAAAUGGGCCUAAAUUCUGAUGCUAAAACCCUUCGUGAGCUGUGGCGCAGCCGCAGUAUCAGCGCUUGGGAGGAAGAAGGGCCGCAAAUUAAAGGCCAGCUUAGAUUACAUAUUGAGGCCCCGUCACUACAUAAAUAAACCAAUGAAAGAAUAUUCUUUUUGCUCACUUUUUUCCCCUCUUGAAAUUUUUAUCAGGUACGUGUGUUGGCCCCUCAGGUUUAUGUAGUGGUUCUGUGCUGUCCGGAGUGAGAAGGUAGGUACUUAAUAUACCAAAAGUUAUAUUUUAUCACGGUGAGAGUCAUCACACAGUUAAAACUCUUAGUUCCUAACUACAGUUUUAAGCCUGUUCCCCCCUGAGGGAGCUCACCUGUGUGACGGACCUUACCUGAAGAUCAGGCCUAGUCUCCGAUGCAGGCGCCUAGGGAGACUCUCCAGCCACAAGGGCGGCUCAAGGUGUCUCUCCAGGUGUGCAGCGAAAGACCGAUGCUUUCUAUCUCCCUCCUUAUAUACUCACAGUCCAGCGGGCGUCAUGGGAUUCUUGUCCCGUGUCUGGUUAUCUUAGCGACUGAUGUCAUUGGGGGCUGGUUAUCAGGUACAGCCUUGGGGGUAGUGGAGUUCCUGACUAAGCUGUUUUUCGAAGACAAAGGGCAUUUUCUCCCCUACUAUUCUCGUUACAAUUCCGAAAAAAAAAAAAACGUGGUUGUGUCUUUUAAAGUCGAUAGUAAGUAGGAAAGCAUUUCACUUAGGUUUCACAGCGCAUAAUGAUGUCGCCUUGAGGGUUUUUUUUUUUCUCGAUGUACCUGUGUGACCUGUGCAUUUCGCGGCUAAAGUUCACCUUCAUUUAGGUCUUUUCCCUCUGUUGCGGUUCACCCUAUUUUCUAUGGAAGGAUCUCACUGAACUCAGAGUUUACUACAUGGGCUAUACUGGCUUGUCAGUGAGCUCCCAGGAUCUGCCCAUUUCUACCAACAGUCCCCCUUAAAAUACGGGGGUUAUAGAUAGGUGCCCCAUGUUCGGCUUUUAUAUACGUGCUGGGGAACUGAACUUAGGCCCUCAUGCUUGAGCAGCAGACCCCCUACAUCUCCCGAGUCAGACCAUCAAUUUUUAAUAUUUUCUCUAUUUCAGAUGUUGUUUUAAAUCCUUCCCAUAGGUAUUUCUUUUUUCUUAACAAAAUUCUACUACACUAUAAUCAGCCAAAAAAAAAUAGGUUUUAGUUACUAAUUAUAUGUAUUUGUACACACGGGUGAAGGAUUUUUAAUUUUUUUAAAUUUUACUGUUUUUAAUUAGGCAUACAUCUACAUGUGUGUAUGUGACAUGUGUUCAGAAGUCAGAGGCACUGGGUCCUCCGGAGCUGGAAUUCCUGGCUGUUCUGAGACACCUGACAUGGAUGCUGGGAACCUAACUUGGGUCCUCUGGUAGAGCCGUCUCUCCAGCCACAACAGUGAAAGGUUGUCUUAAAGCAGUUCUCCAACUCAGACAAAUCAGAAGCAUCAGUAAAACCCAAGAUGCUUCAUCUACAUGUGUGUCUGUGCAUCCUUUAUGUGCCUCGUGCCCCCUGAGGUCAGAAGAGGACAUAUCAGAAGGAAACUUUGGAAGUAUCAAGUAGAAGCGGGACAGAUGGCUCAGCAGAUCACUUCAAAGAACUCAAUGUACCAGGCCCUUGUGUCUCCAUGAGACACAGCAACCCACUCUAUUCUGACCUUUCCUGUGGCUUUACUGAACAAUCCUAUGGAAGAAGAAAGGGAAGCACAAAAGGCCAUGCAUUGAGUUCCCUUUGAAUAUGUGUAACAACAUUUGGAGUCAUCUAAAACCUACUGAAGUGCCAACAUCUCAACGUCAAAUUCUGUGACAGAGCAGAUUUGAGAAAUAUAUCCUUCAAAUAGAAGAUGAUUAUGUAUAUUAAAAGUGUUGAAUGCUCUGCAGUAAAAGCUUCAGCUAAGAGAUUGCCUGAAAUGAAGUAUCCUUUUGUCUGAUUUCAUCUACCAACUCAAGUGUGCCCAGCACUGAGGAGGUUCCCGAGUCUCUCAUCCCCAACACUGGAGAAGUCCAAGGGGAGAUUUGCUGGGACCAUUGGUAUGCAGAAUAUCUCCUAAGGACUUAGAACUAUGAUAGGGGAGCCAAGUGCUGGAAGGCUAGAGAAGGAAGCUGGGAGAUAAUGCCCAGUGUAAAAGGUGGACUAUGAAGACGGAAUAGAGUAAUAAAUAUGGAAGUGAGACACUCAGGGAGAAAAGAUUCUGGACAUGGGGCAGAACGCUCAAUGGAAGACAGAGAGAAAUGGGGCUAACAAACAAGAGUGAGGAAGACCACCACCUCAAGCCUACCAACUCUGAAGUGCCUGAUGCUCAAGAUACAUUCCACCAAUCAGAAGAGAUCAGAUGUAAACUUUCAGCUACUGUUCUGAUGCCAAGCUUGUCUGCCUGUUACCAUGCUCCUCAUCAUGAUGAACGUGAACUCAUUCUCUGAAACCCUCCAGAAUGAAAGGAGUAGUCAUCCCCCCCCGCAUCAGUACAAUGUGUCAGAGAGGAGCCAUGGGCAACAUCAUCAAUAUCUCGGCCUUCCAGUCUCUGCACAUCGUUAUGUUGGGCUUGGACUCGGCCGGCAAGACCACAGUGCUCUACCAGCUCAAGUUCAACGAGUUCGUGAACAUGGUGCCCACCAGCUUCAACAAAGGGAAGAUCAAACUGUGCAAUGGCACAGACAAGGGCUUCAGCUGCCACUUCUGGGAAGUGCGCGGCCAGGAGAAGCUACAGUCACUAUAGAAGCUGUGGCCGCUGUGGAAGUCCUAUAGCCGCUGCACAGACAGCAUCAUUUAUGUGGUGGAUUCAGUGGACGUGGACUGGCGGGAGGAGGUCAAUUUUAUAUCUUAAUGCAAUUGCACUAAAUAGUAUAAGUUGCGUUGGUUGUACUGGCACAUGCCAGUAGGAUUUACUAGUAAAUAUAAAUUGGACUAAAUAAAUAAAUAAAUUGCACCAAAUAAAAAAAAAAAAAAAAAAA
rnacentral:lncRNA from 1 species